rnacentral:lncRNA from 1 species
AUGUCUGUGAAGAGAAUAACAACAACAACAACAAAAAAGCAUGCCUCUUACUUGUAUGUGGACCACAAACACUAUGAACGUGGCACUGUUUCUGCUUCUCAACAGGAGAAACAUGAAUGUCAAAACAUAGUACAUCUGACUGCUCCUUGGAUAACCAUCCAUGUCAAGUGUCACUUGUUUUGAUACAGGUACAAAACUACUUGGCCUUUCCAAGGCCUGAUGCAUCCCUGGAAAGAAACCUGGAGGCUUUAUUUAUUUGCAGGCCAUACGUCAUCUUUCAAUAGGAAAAAUAGUAAAUUUGGGAUUUAAUAGUCCAAACAGUGACAUAUAAAAUAAAAAAAUCAGGAUAAUUUUGUCCA